CCUACGGGUGGCAGCAGUGAGGAAUAUUGGUCAAUGGACGAGAGUCUGAACCAGCCAAGUAGCGUGAAGGAUGACUGCCCUAUGGGUUGUAAACUUCUUUUAUAUGGGAAUAAAAUGUUCCACGUGUGGGAUUUUGUAUGUCCCAUAUGAAUAAGGAUCGGCUAACUCCGUGCCAGCAGCCGCGGUAAUACGGAGGAUCCGAGCGUUAUCCGGAUUUAUUGGGUUUAAAGGGAGCGUAGGUGGAUUGUUAAGUCAGUUGUGAAAGUUUGCGGCUCAACCGUAAAAUUGCAGUUUAAACUGGCAGACUUGAGUACAGUAGAGGUGAGCGGAAUGCGUGGUGUAGCGGUGAAAUGCUUAGAUAUCACGAAGAACUCCGAUUGCGAAGGCAGUUCACUGGACUGCAACUGACACUGAGGCUCGAAAGUGUGGGUAGCAAACAGGAUUAGAUACCCUGGUAGUC
rnacentral:rRNA from 1 species